ACGGGGGGGGCAAGCGUUGUUCGGAAUUACUGGGCGUAAAGGGCUCGUAGGUGGCCAACUAAGUCAGACGUGAAAUCCCUCGGCUUAACCGGGGAACUGCGUCUGAUACUGGAUGGCUUGAGUUUGGGAGAGGGACGCGGAAUUCCAGGUGUAGCGGUGAAAUGCGUAGAUAUCUGGAGGAACACCGGUGGCGAAGGCGGCGUCCUGGACCAACACUGACACUGAGGAGCGAAAGCCAGGGGAGCAAACGGG
rnacentral:rRNA from 1 species